ensembl:lncRNA
GGUAAGAGAAGGCAUGGGAGGGGGGAGUGAAGGAGACUUUUCUAGCCUUGACUUUCAACGGAGGCCACCCUGGGCUUGCUCUGUUUUCAUAAGCUUAAGGAGACAACACAGACCUUCUCAGAAAAAUAAAAACAAGCAGGUGAGUUCGCAGCCUUCCCCCAGGCGGAGUAGGGCUCGGGCUGCCAAGAAGGGCAGUUUCUGCCUCCAGCCGCGGAAGAGACGUCCAGCCGCCCCCCCCCCCCCCGCCGGUCCUGCUCGGGGCGGCCCGGAGGAGUCUCAACUUCGGAAGGCGCUGGAAAGGCGCCGGGGCCCCGCGGCGUGGGAGCUGCGCCCCGUGCCCACCCGGGCCCCAUCCCCGCAGACGGCGCGGAGCUCUCCGUCCCGCCCGCUGCGGAACCAGCAACUCGCCAAACUGGACUCGGGCGACGGCUCCGGCCCCUCCCGCGUCCGCUCGGCCGGGCUCGCGGCUCUGCCUCCUCUUCCCGCCCAGCUCUCUCCGGGCGCUGCGCUUCCAGCCGCGAUUCCCUCACCUCGGCCCUCCUGCCUCCCCGUCCUCCAGACUGGGGCGAAGCCCUGGGUACCACCGGGACGAGGUCCGCGCCCCGCAGCCCGGGACGAGAUCACCCAUCCCCGCCCGCCCGCCCGCCCCGCGGGCUCAGGCUCCCCAGCCUUGCUGCCCCGGCUGGCGGCGUGGCCUUACCGACUGCGCUCGACCCCGGGGCUCCUUUCCAGGGACCCAGCGGUGCCCGCUGCCGCCCCGAUUUCAGCAUCGCAGCCCGGCUCGCGCAGGGAGAGCAAAGUGAGGGCGCCCCCUCCCCUGCGCCUCCUUCCCGGCUCCGGGCCCGGCGCCCGGUUAAAGAGGAGAAGGGGAAGGUAUGCAAAUGACAAGCAAAUUGGAGGAGCCCGGCCGAGAGGCGGCUAUAAUAAACCAGACAAAGGCGCAGGGCUGGGGAGGAGCCCGGAGUUUGCGCCCGGGGAGGUGGGAAGGGGAGGCUCGUCGGAGAGCGGCGACCCUGGCGAACAAAAAGCGACCCGGUCUCCUGCGCGGUCCUCUCUCCCGAAAAGGGAGGGCGGAGACGCGGGGAGCAAGCGGACGCCUCCCCGCACCGCAGAAGCGGGACACAAAAGGUGACAAGUCCGGCGACCCCAGCCCCUGGCAGGCAGGGGAAGGAGAUAAAAGCCAGGGAUCCCUCAGCCUCGGGAGCGGGGCCGCGCCGCGCCGGGUCCCGGCUCGGAAAGUGUCCCGAGGCUGUGACGCGGUGCAUCCAACAUCACCACUUUCGGGGCGCGCGCGGCUGAGUGCGAGGCGCCGCUCCGUGCCACUCUCCCGCAGCCGCGCGCGAUCGGGGCAGGGGAGGCACUCGCGAGGGAGAGGUACUUACGGCGCGAGGGCGGCGGACGGGCCUCGCGCGCCCUCUCCCCUCGCUCGCUCUCCCUGUCGCCGGCAGGGAGCGGAAAACACGCGCGCGCUGGUUCGCGAGUGGCGGACGCGCGGGCGGAGCGGGCCGGUGAGUCGGCGCGGGCGGGCGCACCGGCCCCGGCUCCUGAGCGUGCGCCGCUCGGCUCGCCCGCUGCAGCGCCGUGGGUUUCCGAGCGCUCCCUCGGCUGAGGGCUCCGCUCCGCAAGAUUUACUUUAAGACGCAGCUGAAGGAAACAGGAAGACUGCACGUCACAGUCCGACUGACGUACCCGGCCCCAGCACCCAAUCGCGAGGCGCCUUCGGAUUCAAGGGGGGACGGCGAGGCAAGAGAACUUGGGAGGAAAAAAAUAUAUAAAAGGGGUGGGUGUGGGGGUGCGGGCUGGGGAGAGAGGAGGGAGAGCGGAGCGGCGGCUCCUCCCCGGCCCCCUCCCCGGCCGCGCUGCUCCGGGCGCUGCGACGCCGGCCGGGCCGCCGAGAGCCAUCUGCGGGCCGCGCGCCGCUCCCGGGCAGCCGGUCCUCGCCGCCGUGUACGCGCGUGUGUGUGUGUGCGCGCGUGUGUGUGCUUGUGCGUGUUUUUUUCCAUUUCCCAGAUACAGCUGAUCGGGUUCGCCCCGCGCCCCAGCGAGCGAGGGAGCGAGCGCUCCUCGGACUCGGGUGGAGGAAGGCACGGAAAAGUAUACUGGAGACAAAGUGGGGCUUUUCGGGGUGGCGGUGAUGCAGAAGGAGGGAGUGGAGGGUCCACAAAUCAGUCCGUUUUUAGAGCGAUCCUGGGUAGGAGCCGCAAUACAUGUCACGCUUCCUUUUAAAGAGGGGGUGGACUGUGAGAUGCAGGUAGGUCUGGGAUUAAAAUGAUACGUGCGGAGGUUUAACGCUGAGCUCGCUGCAUCCGAUAUAAAGGAGCAACACUGGCUGAGCCCCAGUCAACCACCAGCAAGAUUACUGGGAACAAGAAUAUUUACACCCCCACCACCACCACCACCUCUGACAGGGUCCCUGGGACUAUGGAUACAGCAGCUAUUUAAAAGUAUAUGUUACAAACAUUAUCUCGCUCAGUGUCCCCAGACCGACUCAGGAGCGCAGUCCAACACUGGAUUUACACGAUUUUGACACCUGGGUAACAAAGUUUAAAGUUUAUUAGGCAAGACAUAUCAAACGCUAGAAUCUCAGACUCCAACUUGAAACCGAAGAAAGUUCAUUUUGGCUUGACUUUCUGAGAUGAGAAAUACCCAGCACGGGUUCUCUAGAUAAGGCAGCUCUGGGCUUUGCAAGGUAACAGACGCUGAAGAGAGAGCCUCCAGCCACAGAGAGAAGAUGCCUUUCGCUGGGGACAGUAAACGGCUUUUAAUAAAGCAGGCGAGUUUAUCACUUAAAGAUCCUAUAAAAGCUAGGGCUCGCAGGAGCUGGGAAGUAGAAACUUUCAUGCCUACUCCAGUAGAUGCAUGUUUUUUAGGUUGAACGGGGACCAGCAGUUUUCCUGCGUCCCUCACAUUUAGUCAGAUCAAAGGUUGAAUCGUGUGUUGUGACAAGAGUAUUUAUGAGGUUCGUUGCUAGAACCCCAGGCUGGCUGGCUAUUACCACCAUCUUCUGCGACGGGGGGGGGGGGGGACACCACGCCUUUCUAGGACAUUUACAAUUUCAGCUUCAGGUUCAUCAAACUGUGAAGAGAUAGGAAGUCUCCUCUUUGAAUCAGAACAGCGGUGUUAGUAUGUCACAGUGUAUACUCUGUGGGAAACUUUAGGCACGGAAUUCAAACGUUAAGAAGAGGAGGAGGAAGAGGAGGAGGAAUAAUAAGGUCAACCAGGUUGGUGUCAGCAAUAAGAAAGGCUUUCAGGAGCAUCACCAGCCCUCUGCAGGCCCUUUCCCGCCCCCAGACACCCCUCCCUCCACCGUGCAAAUGCUCACCCUCACACUCAUGCCUCCAGCGAUCGCUAGGCUAGUGUAUCCAGUGUUCUAAUGGGGACGUGACAGUUUAGGCUGGGAACUGAAAUGGCUCCCAACAUGCCCAUGAGCUGCAGUGUGGAAUAAUAAUGCUUCUAUUGGUUGGGUCCCUUUCGAGGGCGGAGUACGGUGCUCGAGGCAAGACUGGUGACCAGGAAACCAGGGUGGUUUGAUGUGAAGCAGUUGAUCCCAAGAACUGCGAAUCAUCAGAAUCACCAAAGGAGCUUUCAAAAGUAAAAUACUAAUAAAAAUGUCUGGGUCUGCCCCAGAUAGGAGAUCAGUAGGGAGGGCCCGGGAAUGGGGGCAGGCACACCUCUUCUCUAGUCACCGCUCAGUGGUCACUGUUUCUGUGACCUUGGGGUGUCACCCUGUCUGAGCCUCAGUUGUCCAUCUGCAAAAUGGAGUGAUACCCAAGUCAUCGAGUUAUCGAGAGGCUUCUACACAGCACGAUUGUUCAGUACACCAUCGGUGCUCACGAUACAGAAUCCACUGCACACGUGCUAAAGUACGUGGAAUGUACAUCCAGGUGCACUUUUGAGCUUAGGAAGAGGGGCUGUCUUGGGCAUUUUAUAUCCCCACCCUCCUCAUAUAUUGUAUACCUUCUAGGCCAAAAAAGCAUAAAUUAGACUUGUGCAUGUUUGGAAGCCAGGCCUUGUGUUCCUGGACCUAGAACUGUCCACCAGGGCCAGUGGCCCACAGCGACCUUUUACCACCCUGAAAUCUACUUUUAUUCUGCACUCUUUGGCUCUUUCACAUUCCCUUCUGUGUGGAUGGCGAACCUUUCUAACAGCAGCUGCAGUCAGCCCAGUGAGACCACGGGACAAAAAGGUCUAUUCACAGGGGAGCAACAAGCAGGAAAAAAGGU